rnacentral:tRNA from 1 species
GCCAUCUUAGCUCAGCUGGUAGAGCAACGGUUUUGUAAACCGUAGGUCCGGGGUUCGAACCCCCGAGAUGGCUCCA